rnacentral:rRNA from 1 species
AGAGUGAACGCUGGCGGUAGGCCUAACACAUGCAAGUCGAACGGCAGCACAGUGGUAGCAAUACCAUGGGUGGCGAGUGGCGGACGGGUGAGGAAUACAUCGGAAUCUACCUUUUCGUGGGGGAUAACGUAGGGAAACUUACGCUAAUACCGCAUACGCCCUUUGGGGGAAAGCCGGGGAUCGCAAGACCUGGCGCGGAUAGAUGAGCCGAUGUCGGAUUAGCUAGUUGGUGAGGUAAUGGCUCACCAAGGCGACGAUCCGUAGCUGGUCUGAGAGGAUGAUCAGCCCACACUGGAACUGAGACACGGUCCAGACUCCUAACGGGAGCA